AACUCUACAAUGCAGGCAACUGCGAUAGGGGAACAUCGAGUGGCACCCACCAUGGGUGUCUGUCCAGCCGUCUAAAAAACGGCUGUUAGCAAGGGCCGGGCAAGACCGGUGCCAGCCGCCGCGGUAAUACCGGCGGCUCGAGUGGUGGCCGAUAUUAUUGAGUCUAAAGGGUCCGUAGCCGGCUUUGCAAGUCCCCUGGGAAAUCCAGCGGCUUAACCGUUGGGCUUUCAUGGGAUACUACAUUGCUUGGGACUGGGAGAGGUAGGAGGUACUCAGGGGGUAGGGGUGAAAUCCUGUAAUCCUCUGGGGACCACCGGUGGCGAAGGCGUCCUACCAGAACAGGUCCGACGGUGAGGGACGAAAGCUAGGGGCACGAACCGGAUUAGAUACCCGGGUAGUCCUAGCCGUAAACGAUGCUCGCUAGGUGUCACGGCAGUCGUGAAUUGUCGUGGUGCCGUAGGGAAGCCGUGAAGCGAGCCACUUGGGAAGUACGACCGCAAGGUUGAAACUUAAAGGAAUUGGCGGGGGAGCAC
rnacentral:rRNA from 1 species